AAUAACCGAAGAUCACAGCUGGGUUCAAUGUUGGGUUGGUAAUCACACGAACAUCACCACCACCGGGCGCCCAGGUAUCAUAGACACCACCGAAGAACAUUGCUUUCAGCACCAACAAUAAAGCACCACAUCCCAAAAGAAUUAGGUGGAAGCCGAUGAUGUUGGUCAUCUUGUUCUUGUCUUUCCA
rfam:Hapalosiphon sp. MRB220 contig_24, whole genome shotgun sequence.